GCUUCCUUCAGCAGCACAUACUAAAACUGGAACAAUACAGAUACAAUUAGCAUAGCCCCUGUGCAGGAUGACACACAAAUUUGUGAAGUGUUCCCUACUAAA